rnacentral:rRNA from 1 species
GACGAACGCUGGCGGCGUGCUUAACACAUGCAAGUCGAACGAUGAACCCGGAGCUUGCUCCGGUGGAUUAGUGGCGAUCGGGUGAGUAACACGUGAGUAACCUGCCCUUGACUCUGGGAUAACUGCGGGAAACUGUAGCUAAUACCGGAUACGACCCUCGGCGGCAUCGCCAGGGGGUGGAAAGAAUUUCGGUCAAGGAUGGAUUCGCGGCCUAUCAGCUUGUUGGUGAGGUAAUGGCUCACCAAGGCGACGACGGGUAGCCGGCCUGAGAGGGUGAACGGCCACACUGGGACUGAGAUACGGCCCAGACUCCUACGGGAGGCAGCAGUGGGGAAUAUUGCGCAAUGGACGAAAGUCUGACGCAGCGACGCCUCGUGAGGGACGAAGGUCAUCGGAUUGUAAACCUCUUUCAGCAGGGACGAAGCGAAAGUGACGGUACCUGCAGAAGAAGCACCGGCUAACUACGUGCCAGCAGCCGCCGUAA